rnacentral:lncRNA from 1 species
UCCAUCUCAAAAAAAAAAACCAUUAAAAAAAAGUGAGCACUUUAAAUUUCCUUCCCUUAUGUAAACACUUUGAGUAGUUUCACCGGAUUUUUCAGUUAGUUUCAACACCAAGUGAAUACCUCUGACAUGGAAAUUAAAGUUUUAACCAAGAGACUCCAAGCUAAGGCUAAUAUUAAGCCAGAAAGAGGAAGUUAUUAAAGGAAUGAGCGGCCGACUCUGGAGCCCAAGCUGUUGCUUCCCAUCUGGUGGUGAGGCCUCCACUGUCUGGUGAGUGCAAUGUCCGAUGCUAGAGCCCAGGCUGUUGCUUCCCACUCUGGUAGUGAAUCCUCCAUAGUCUGCCACCAGAAAACGCUAUGACUUUGGGGAGAGAAAGAGAUCAUGGCUUCCGAACAAGAUAAACAAGCAGUGCAACUGGCCCUGGAUCUAUGACCCAUUUGGGAUGGUCCCGUAGAACUGCAAGUAACUGUCCUAGAUCAACAUGCUAAUUGGAGCCUUAGGCAGAAACAAGAUGGGAAGAGGUACAUUUCUGGUUUUGGACCCAGAAACUGCCAGAGGCCAGCAAAGCUUAUAACCCUUUCGAGGAGCAAUUGUUAGCUUGCUAUUGGGCUUUGCUGGAAACGAAACACCUCUGCUUCAACCAUGAUGUCUUUAUGAGGCUUGAAAUUCCUAUUAUGACUUGGGUCAUGAGUUCCCCCGAAACUCACCAGAUAGGGCACGCCAAGGGGGAGAACUGGGGGAGUUUCCAUUCCGGGAUUUGGGACGUCCCCAAGUUUCCAGCCUUGGGCUCCAGAGUCAGACACCGCACUCUCCAGGCUGGAAGAUUCUCCACCAGGCCAGGAAGCAACAGCAUGGGUUCCAGAGUGGGACACCCGCACUCACCAGACUAUGAAGGACUCACCACCAGACCAAGAAGCAACAGCCUGAGCUCCAGAGUCAGACACCACCCUCAUCAGACUGUGGAGGAUUCACCACCAGACAGGGAAGCAACAGCCUGGGCUCCAGAGUUGGCCACUCGUCCGUGCACAGACGAGGAGAGGUCUCAUGAAGCUUCGGUGCAGUCUGGGACCACAGCUCUUUAGUAACGAGUUGUUUGGCAUAAAGCCCAGUCACAGGGCUCUUCAGGACAGGGCUUAAGGAACACAAAAAGGGCCUGAGGGGCGGGACCUAAAGCAUUAUCCAAUCAGAGACGCUGGGCUGGAAACCGUCCAAUCAGGCACGCAGCUGGAGCGACGAGGACGGCUUUCCGCUUUUGGCGCGGCCUUUGUCUCUAGCUGCAGCCGGCGUUUCAGGUCUCGUCUUCACUGGUCUGUGUCCUAUUCUCCUGGAGGCCCAGCCUCUGUGGCCCUGUGACCUGCAGGUAUUGGGAGAUCCACAGCUAAAACCCCAGGACACCCUGGAAGCAUAGAAAUGGUUCUGUAGCAGAAAUUGCUGGUGUCUGUGGCAGGGGAGGGCACCUGAGGACAGGGAAGAAGAAACAUAUUUUUAUCUUUAUGGAGCAGCACAUUGUUCCCAAAUACCUUCUGCUUUAAGGGACAGAAAUGGAUGGACUUUUUCUGUCUUUUCUGCCAGUUGAUGUCAUGCUUGCAGGUAAACAUGUGGUACUGACACCCUUAAAGGCAUAUUCUCAAGAGGCAGGUAAAAAACCAAUUCCAAAAAAGUAUUGCAACAAAAGGAAGCACCAAAUAACUAUAAUAUCUUUAUGGCUUGCAAAAAUAUAGGCAGAAAAGGGCUUUCUUUUCUAGGGAAGAGCAAACAAGAUUAGAAAGGAGGUGGGAGAGGAACAGCAAAUGGAGGGUGAAAAAGUCAGAUUUUAGAUCAGAGAAUGGCUUACCCUGAAAUCAGCAUGUUCUUAGGAGGGACAUAAAAUGGGGUUGUAUGUUGACUCAGACUGAGGGUAGCUUGAAUUUCAGGAGCCUGAGAGAAGAUAAACUUAAGUAAAAUUUGAUUAAGAAAUAUUUUAUUUUAGGCUGGGUGUGGUGGCUCAAGUCUGCAAUCCCAGCACUUUGGGAGGCUGAGG